UACGGGGGGGGCAAGCGUUGUUCGGAAUUACUGGGCGUAAAGGGCGCGUAGGCGGCCUGCUAAGUCGGAUGUGAAAUCCCUCGGCUCAACCGAGGAACUGCAUCCGAUACUGGCGGGCUUGAAUCCGGGAGAGGGAUGUGGAAUUCCAGGUGUAGCGGUGAAAUGCGUAGAUAUCUGGAGGAACACCGGUGGCGAAGGCGGCAUCCUGGACCGGUAUUGACGCUCAGGAGCGAAAGCGUGGGGAGCGAUCCGG
rnacentral:rRNA from 1 species